CCUUCGAUAGCUCAGUUGGUAGAGCGGUGGACUGGUUGAAGUUGUGAUGGUUAUCCAUUAGGGCACUGGUUCGAAUCCGGCUCGAAGAA
rnacentral:tRNA from 1 species